UAUUACUAAUUUUAGGAUAUAAGUUUAUUUCCUAAAGGCGAUCUGACUAUUGUAGGAGAAAGAGGAGUGAUAAUGAGCGGUGGGCAAAAGGCAAGAAUUAAUCUAGCAAGAGCACUUUAUCUAGAUGCCGAUAUAUUCCUCCUUGACGAUCCACUGAGUGCUGUUGAUGUUCCAGUGGCGAAACAUAUAUACGAAAAAUGUAUAUUGGAAUAUCUGAAAAAGAAAAUUUGCAUUUUAGUUACGCAUCAAAUACAAUUUUUAAACUCUGAAAGUAAGAUUAUAGUGUUAAACAAGG